rnacentral:rRNA from 1 species
UUCCGGACGGAGAUGAGUGCUAGUGUUAGAGGGUUUCCGCCCUUUAGUGCUGAAGUUAACGCAUUAAGCACUCCGCCUGGGGAGUACGGCCGCAAGGCUGAAACUCAAAGGAAUUGACGGGGGCCCGCACAAGCGGUGGAGCAUGUGGUUUAAUUCGAAGCAACGCGAAGAACCUUACCAGGUCUUGACAUCCUCUGACAACCCUAGAGAUAGGGCUUCUCCUUCGGGAGCAGAGUGACAGGUGGUGCAUGGUUGUCGUCAGCUCGUGUCGUGAGAUGUUGGGUUAAGUCCCGCAACGAGCGCAACCCUUGAUCUUAGUUGCCAUCAUUAAGUUGGGCACUCUAAGGUGACUGCCGGUGACAAACCGGAGGAAGGUGGGGAUGACGUCAAAUCAUCAUGCCCCUUAUGACCUGGGCUACACACGUGCUACAAUGGACGGUACAAAGAGCUGCGGGACCGCGAGGUGGAGCUAAUCUCAUAGAACCGUUCUCAGUUCGGAUUGCAGGGGGGACUCCCCCUACAUGAAAUGGA